rnacentral:rRNA from 1 species
UACGUAGGGAGCAAGCGUUGUCCGGAAUCAUUGGGCGUAAAGCGCGCGUAGGCGGCCCCGUAAGUCCGCUGUGAAAGUCAAAGGCUCAACCUUUGAAAGCCGGUGGAUACUGUGGGGCUAGAGUACGGAAGAGGCGAGUGGAAUUCCUGGUGUAGCGGUGGAAUGCGCAGAUAUCAGGAGGAACACCGGUGGCGAAGGCGGCAUCCUGGACCAAUAUUGACGCUGAGGAGCGAAAGCUAGGGGAGCAAACGGG